rnacentral:rRNA from 1 species
ACGGAAGGCAGCAGUGGGGAAUGUUGGGCAAUGGGCGAAAGCCUGACCCAGCAACGCCGCGUGAGGGAAGAAGGUUUUCGGAUUGUAAACCUCUGUCCUUGAUGAAAAGAGAGAGAUGGUAAUCGAGGAGGAAGCCCCGGCUAACUACGUGCCAGCAGCCGCGGUAAUACGUAGGGGGCGAGCGUUGUCCGGAAUGAUUGGGCGUAAAGGGCGCGUAGGCGGCCUGUUAAGUCUGGAGUGAAAGUCCUGUCUUCAAGAUGGGAAUUGCUUUGGAUACUGAUGGGCUUGAGUGCAGGAGAGGUUAUCGGAAUUCCCGGUGUAGCGGUGAAAUGCGUAGAGAUCGGGAGGAACACCAGUGGCGAAGGCGGGUAACUGGACUGCAACUGACGCUGAGGCGCGAAAGUGUGGGGAGCAAACAGGAUUAGAUACCCUGGUA